GCUCGGUUAGCUCAGUUGGUUAGAGCGUCGUACUAAUAUUACUCUGGGUUCAGUCCUGGUCUAAUAUCGGUAAUGCGAAGGUCAUGAGUUCGACCCUCAUACUGAGCA